AAGGGACGAUGUCCCUUUUCUAGGACAGGGUUAAUUGUGGGACUGUUUGCUUUUCUGGUGUUAGCUUGCUUGAAAAUGGUUAGCAUGGAGGUUCGCUUUGGAAGCACACAUGAUUCUCUAUCAAACUUAGAAUAACCUAAUAUACCCUUGACCCACCCAACUGCCACCACUGCCGUCACUGCCGUCACUGCCACCGCUGCCACCCAAGGCCAGCUUUCUCCUGUUAACAGAAGAAAAAUGCACAUGUUCACGUCUCCAUGCUGAGUUCACUCCUGGAGGCCAUCGUUUCAUACUUCCCUACCAGGUCUGAACAGGCGUGGCAACUUGAGAGCAGCUCGGUACCUUGUCCCAACCGAACCAAUGCGAUGGUGCCAUCAGAGGGGAGCAGAGUCGGUGAGGGCAGAGCCACUGGGUCCCAGAAGCACCAUUCACUGUCCUCCUUGCCAAAGUUACACAAGCAAUUCUUUAGCAAUUGUAACAAAUACAUUUUACAUUUUGCAAAUCAUUCCCUAGAUACACAGGCGGGCAAGGAAGGAGGCAAGGCAUCCUUAAGAUACACGGGUUAUGCUUGAGGUGGGAAACAGGGAGGUAGUUCCCUCCAUUCUUGACUCCUCAGUUCCAAGAACAGUUCCAUUAGUGGCUGUCCUCUCAGUCCUCUGGAGUUAGCUUACCCUGGUUCCUCCCAUCCUAUACUUAAUAAACGAACAUGCUUGACUAA
rnacentral:lncRNA from 1 species